rnacentral:rRNA from 1 species
AGAGUUUGAUCAUGGCUCAGAACGAACGCUGGCGGCGUGCUUAACACAUGCAAGUCGAACGCGAUUCAGAGCUUGCUCUGGUGAAAGUGGCGCACGGGUGAGUAACGCGUGGAUAACCUGCCCUGGUAUCUGGGAUAACAUCUCGAAAGGGGUGCUAAUACCGGAUAAGCCUACGGGGUCCUCGGACUCUGCAGGAAAAGGUGGCCUCUAUUUAUAAGCUACCGUAUCAGGAUGGGUCCGCGUACCAUUAGCUAGUCGGUGGGGUAAUGGCUCACCAAGGCGACGAUGGUUAGCUGGUCUGAGAGGAUGAUCAGCCACACUGGAACUGAGACACGGUCCAGACUCCUACGGGAGGCAGCAGUGGGGAAUUUUGCGCAAUGGGGGAAACCCUGACGCAGCAACGCCGCGUGAGUGAUGAAGGCUUUCGGGUCGUAAAGCUCUGUCAGAGGGGAAGAAAUGAAACGUGCUAAUAUCACGUUUUCUUGACGGUACCCUCAAAGGAAGCACCGGCUAACUCCGUGCCAGCCGCCGCGGUAAUAC